CGUCAAUUCCAAGCAUGGAUGCCGCGAGACUCGUACAGAAAAAGGUGUUGCCAUCACCUCCGUCUCUCUGCUUCAGCAUACGAGAAUGGAGUCGAAUAACAGCACUACAUGU
rnacentral:snoRNA from 1 species